rnacentral:tRNA from 1 species
UCUAAUAUGGCAGAAUAGUGCAAUAGAUUUAAGAUCUAUAAAUAAAGAAAUCUUUUUUUAGAA